GCCUACAGCUAGCUUUCUGCAACUUUCACAUGGUCACCCACUGAAGCUAAGCAGGGCAGCGUCUGGUCAGUACCUGGAUGGGAGAUCACAUGAGAAAACUAGGUUGCUGCCGGAA
ensembl:rRNA 5S_rRNA 5S ribosomal RNA